rnacentral:tRNA from 1 species
GGGGAUGUAGCUCAGUUGGUAGAGCGCCUGCUUUGCACGCAGGAGGCACGGGGUUCGAAUCCCCGCAUCUCCA